rnacentral:rRNA from 1 species
ACUCAAAGGAAUUGACGGGGGCCCGCACAAGCAGUGGAGCAUGUGGUUUAAUUCGACGCAACGCGCAGAACCUUACCCGGGCUAGAAAAGCAUGGAACUUCCUAGAAAUAGGUUGGUGCUCGCAAGAGAACCAUGAUCCAGGUGCUGCAUGGCUGUCGUCAGCUCGUGUCGUGAGAUGUUGGGUUAAGUCCCGCAACGAGCGCAACCCUUGUCCUCAGUUGCCAUCAUUUAGUUGGGCUACUCUGAGGAGACUGCCGGCGUCAAGCCGGAGGAAGGUGGGGAUGACGUCAAGUCCUCAUGGCCCUUAUGUCCGGGGCUACACACGUGCUACAAUGGUCGGUACAGAACGUCGCGUACCCGCGAGGGGAAGCCAAUCGGCAAAAGCCGACCUCAGUACGGAUUGCAGUCUGCAACUCGACUGCAUGAAGCCGGAAUUGCUAGUAAUCGCUAAUCAGCAGGUAGCGGUGAAUACGUUCCCGGGCCUUGUACACACCGCCCGU